GAUGUAGCCAAGUGGAUCAAGGCUGUG
rnacentral:tRNA from 1 species